UCUGCCUCCUAAGUGCUGGGGUUAAAGGUGUGCGCCACCACUGCCCAGUGUAGCAAGUGUUCUUAAUCUGUAAGCCACUUCUUGAGCCUCAAAAUAUUUUACACACACACACACACACACACACCUACCACGUCUAUAGGAGGGUUUUUUUGUUUUGGGUUUUUUUGUUUUUUUUGUCUGUUUAGUUGGUUGGUUUUGGUUUUAUUGGGGGGGGGUUGUUUUGUUUGAGACACAUUUCUCAUUUCUCUGUGUAACUCUGACUGUCCUGGAACUCACUCUGUAGAUCAGACUGGCCUCAAGCUAACCAAGAUCCUACUGACUGCUGGGAUUAAAUAUAUGUGCCACCACUGCCUAACUAAUAAAGAUAAUUUUUUUAAAAAUGCUUUAAAGAAAAAAAAAAUGAAAAGGCUAAAGUACUGUUUAACUGUUGCUGCAAUGGACUGCUGUUGUCUCUGCCACUCAUGCUGUGGGCUUCAGGCAGGUUACUGGACACUUUUGUUUUUUGAUUCCUGUGAAACCAUGUGAUAACUCCAAGUUCUUAGACCAUGAGUGAAAAUUUAAAUGAGGUGAUAUCUAUAAAGAGUAUAUAAAAAUAUUUUCCCAAUCUAUUAUAUUCUGUUGAAAACAAGUCUUUGUGUGCACAUAUGUGUGCUUGCUAGGGAUCAGACCCUGGUCGUCAUCAUGCUAGAAAAGUGUUUCCCGCUGAGCUCUGCACCGUUGCCGCCACACCAUGCACACAGUGGUUCUGCUCUGGAGCUGUUCUCCCCGUCACCUGUCCUUGCUCUUGAGUUACUCGGGAAAGGUGGAGGAGAGCCUACAGGAGUCCCUGGGUGGGAGCAGGUCUCCUUACCUUUGGAGGCUCCUGUAGGAGUCCCAUUCCUCCCAUUCACUACAGGCCUUUAUGUCUGAUAAAAGUGCCUGUGCAACGGACAUCAGCUUUCCUAACACUUGGUUUCUGGAGUUUGUUAUACAGGGGCUAGGUCUGGCUUUCCUCUGAAUGCUGCUGCCCACUGAAGUGGGAAUAGUGGCUGUGAUUAGGAAAACCAACUGUUUAUAGAGGGUUAGUUGAGUGGGUAUUACGUGUUAACCUCAUGGCACCCGAGAGAAUAACAAGUCAGAUCCUUUUAGAAUUACAUCUGUGCAGAUACCCAGUUCUUCCUUCCUUUUUCCCCAUUUGCCUUUCUUUAACAUAUGUAUAAAAUAUGGUUAGUAGAUUAAAAUACUAGGAGUGAGCAGUGUCUCAGAAUGAUUGAGGCUGCCCACUGCAGAUCUCUCAACUGUUUACACAGAGGUCUGGGUGUUAGUGCAUCGAUGUAAACACUGCCAAGUGUCCUGCACUUCUGAGAAGACAGGGCUAGCUCCUCUCCCAGAUGUUCUGGAAUUUGCUGUCCUCCAAGCCAGGUCUCUCAUUCUAAGUGCUGUCACUCUGCUGUUGGGUAGAUGAGUUACAUGGCCCCUGACCUUGUAUGUUAAAAAUAAACAGGCCUAAUAGACUUAGAUCCUGAUCACCCACAGGGAACCUAUCUUAUAAUACAGAUCCCAAAAUAACUCAUUUCUCACAUACAUGGCCAUUUCUUAUAAAAUCUCAGGAUGACUAUACUCAAAACAUAAGGAUGGUCUCUCUUCAUCUUGCAAACAUGGCUGCUUUAUAUGAAUGGAAGAGUGGCUCCUGGGAGAUUGUCCUCUGAAGGCUUUGUGUACAGCUCUGUCUGCUGUUGCCAGCAGUGGAAUGUGGACAGGAGCACCACCCUCACCGAUAGGGAGCAGUGGCUCCUGCUCAGAUGCAGUGCAGAUUAGCAAGAAGACAGUUUGAUUUGGCCCAGCUCUGUAGGAGAGAGGAGCCUGUGGGGAGGGAAGGCACGAAAGCACUUGUCCUGGACAUCUUAGCUGCCCUUCUCUUAGUUUCCAACAACUACCUCAGGAAAGAUUGUACUCUGGUUAUUUGUAAGUGCAGGUGGUCGUGUCCGAGUGUUCUCAUCAGAUCGCAUUCUCACUCCAGUCUCGGUGCCAUGGGUGAAGAAGGCAAAGAGGAGACAGUUGUGAAACAGAACCAUGAGGGAUGAGCUUGUGCUCUGCAGGUUGCGUUUCAAUGCAGGCGGAUCUGGCUCGCAUCGCAGGCUUUGGGUUUCCCAGAGAAGGUACAGUUAGUCUUUAUUAAGUUUUUGUGAUGGGGUGGGAAAUUUUGGAGUUUUAAUAUGCUAGAUAGCAGGGAAAUCAGUCAUGUUUCUGGGGGCAAAUUCUAUAGAUGAUUUGCAGACUAGCUCUGUGAGAACUACAUCUCUAGGCAGAAUGACCUGUGUCAGCAUGUUCUCCCAGAUGGAAGAAUGAGUCAUCAAAGUUCUGUUAGCAUUAAGAGAUUAAGAAUUACUCCAGUGUUCAGCAUGAAGUUUUAUUUAAUUUCCGAUAUAACCUUAGGUAAACAAUGCUUAAUCUUACAUAAGAAAGCGUGGGCUUGUAGUCUGGGUUGCUACUCUGAGAACAGGCAGCUGUAGGACAGCUACGGAGUAACACUGAGGAGUUCUCUGCUCUUCACUGUGUCCCUCCAGUGCAGGUACUGACUGUCUUAAUUGCUCACAACACAGUGGGCAGUGCAGGCUCUCGGGUUCCUUGUCCCUGCCUGUUGAGCCAAGAUGGCUAUUUUGUUGUUAAAAUGGAGGUUUAAGUAAAAUUGAGGUUGUUCAGUAAUGUUUGGGAACUACUUACACAGCCUCAAAAUCCUAACACUCCAAGGUAUAUUCUAUUCUAUUCUUUUCUCACAUUUAUGUAUGCAUGUGAAUGCCUGCAUGCAUCUCUGUGCACUAUGUGUAGGCAGUGAUGGUAGAGGUCAAAAGAGGGAGUCAGAGCCUCUGGGACUGGAAUUACUUGGAGGUGUGAGCCACCUUGCAGGUGCUGGAAAUUAAACUUGAAUCUUCCAGAAGAGCGGCCAGUGCUUAUAAUUACUGAAUCUUUUAUUGUUGUUGUUGUUUUGAGAUAAGUUUCUCUGUGUAAAACUAGCUGUCUUGACACUUUCUCUGUAGUAGACAAGGCUUGCAUUUGAAUUUGAGUAACAGAUGGUUGUGAGCAGCCUUUUGGAUCUGGGUAUUGAAUCUUGGGUCCUCUAGAAGAAGAGCAGCCAGUGCUUUUAACCACUGAAAGACCUCUUUGACCCAAUCAUAGAACUAAUCAAUCAAUUAAUUCCUUUCCAAGAUUUAGUUAGUUAGUUUAUAUGAGUACACUGUUGCUGUCUUCAAACACUUAAGAAGAAGCCAUCGGGUCCCAUUACAGAUGGUUGUGAGCCACCAUGUGGUUGCUGGGAAUUGAACUCAGGACAUUCAGAAGAGCAGUCAGUGCUCUUACCCACUGAGCCAUUUCUCCAGCCCCAUAGAGUUUCUUAAUAUAAAGCUUCCCCCCCCCCCCUCCAACUCUCACUCCAUUUUCUUUUCUUAGAAGUACAGUUGUGGUCUGGAAAGAUGGCUGGUGGUCAAAACCUCUUGAUGCCCUUCAAGAGGACCUAAUUUCAGUGCCUAGCACCCAUGUGGGGCAGCUCACAACCACCUAUAACUCUGGCUCAAAGGUCUGACUUCUUAUGGUCUCUGAAGGUGCUCCGGAACACACAAGUAAAAUUAAGUACGGAAAGAGAAAGAAACCCAGUUGUAACACCUUAUUUUAUAUUUUAAAGAUCUUAUUCACUAGGUGGUGGUGGUAUACACCUUUAAUCCUAGCACUUUAGGAGACAGAUGUCUGUCUCAAAGACUAAAACACAAACAAACAAAAAUCUUCAAAUGUAGCUUUCUUUACUGGCACAGCCAGCCUGGGAAGAAAUGUGAGUAGAUGUGAGGGAUUAGUCAGCAGGCAAAAUGGAGAGCAUUUAAGCUCUGACCACUGUACUCUGCACAGCUCAUCUCUAGGUGCUGCCUGAUGUCUCCCAGCAAGUGUGCUGUGGUGCUGAGGGCUGUCUGCCUCAAUGUAGUCACAGCCUGGGGCUGUUUGUUAUUUGAGUUUUUGUUUUUGUUUGGUUGAGUCAGGGUUUUUAUAGCAGAGACUGGCCUUGAACUAGAGAUUGUCUUGCUUCUGGAGUCCUGGGAUUGCAGGUGUAGGGCGCCAUGCCAGCAGGCACUGUUUUAACUAAAGUAAUCUAAGAGGGUGUGGCUGUUUCCCUUGUGUGAAUGCAGCAGGUGUGUGAUUUUCAUGGAGGAAACUUGGUGCCAGUGUUGGAAAGAAAAGGCGGGUUUUUUAAAGCUGAGGUCUUCGCCCUUUGCUGUUUAUAGUGUGUGUCCUACACCUGCUUGUGAAGUUAUCCUACACGUGCAAACUGACAACUGACACCAGAGUGCUUUAUCUUUAUGCAGUGCAUUGUUUGUAGAAACUAUGUUUAUAAUGGGCUUU
rnacentral:lncRNA from 1 species